AAUUGACGGGGGCCCGCACAAGCGGUGGAGCAUGUGGUUUAAUUCGAUGCAACGCGAAGAACCUUACCUACUCUUGACAUCCAGAGAAGUUUCCAGAGACGGAUUGGUGCCUUCGGGAACUGUGAGACAGGUGCUGCAUGGCUGUCGUCAGCUCGUGUUGUGAAAUGUUGGGUUAAGUCCCGCAACGAGCGCAACCCUUAUCCUUGUUUGCCAGCGAGUAAUGUCGGGAACUCCAGGGAGACUGCCGGUGAUAAACCGGAGGAAGGUGGGGACGACGUCAAGUCAUCAUGGCCCUUACGAGUAGGGCUACACACGUGCUACAAUGGCGCAUACAGAGGGCGGCCAACUUGCGAAAGUGAGCGAAUCCCAAAAAGUGCGUCGUAGUCCGGAUUGGAGUCUGCAACUCGACUCCAUGAAGUCGGAAUCGCUAGUAAUCGUAGAUCAGAAUGCUACGGUGAAUACGUUCCCGGGCCUUGUACACACCGCCCGUCACACCAUGGGAGUGGGCUGCAAAAGAAGUGGGUAGU
rnacentral:rRNA from 1 species